rnacentral:lncRNA from 1 species
CACUGUUGCUAUGUCUGCUUCUGGACAGGGGCUCAGUUCAGCAAGAACACAGGACCCUCACACUGUGGGCCAGAAGCUCUGCCAUGCAGGUCCUUGUCCUUCAUGCAGGUGACUGUGGCAGCCCUGUGAUAGGCAGAGGGAGGACACCACAUGCAUCCAGGUGGACUCUGAGUGGUUACGCAGAGCUGUUCCCCAGAGUUGUGGCUGUUGCCGGAGCGGGGUCCCCUCAGCUGCACUGUGGAGAAGCAGAGAUAAAGAGACCAGCAGCAGGCUGA